GACAGAGGGUGCGAACGUUGCUCGGAUUUACUGGGCGUAAAGCGCGUGUAGGUGGCCAGGCGAGUCGGGUGUGAAAGCCCGGGGCUCAACCCCGGAAGGGCACCCGAUACUACGUGGCUGGAGUCCUGAAGAGGAGAGCGGAAUUCCCGGUGUAGAGGUGAAAUUCGUAGAUAUCGGGAGGAACACCAGUGGCGAAGGCGGCUCUCUGGGCAGAGACUGACACUGAGACGCGAAAGCGUGGGAAGCAAACAG
rnacentral:rRNA from 1 species